ACCUGCGGAAGGAUCAUUACAGAGUUCCUGCCCUCACGGGUAGAAACCCCACCCUUGUGUAUAUUAUAUUGUUGCUUUAGCAGGUCGCCCUCUGGGCGUCGGCCUCGGCUGACUGUGCCUGCUAGAGGACCCUAAAUUUUGAAAUACAGUGUCGUCUGAGUACUAUUUAAUAGUUAAAACUUUCAACAACGGAUCUCUUGGUUCUGGCAUCGAUGAAGAACGCAGCGAAAUGCGAUAAGUAAUGUGAAUUGCAGAAUUCAGUGAAUCAUCGAAUCUUUGAACGCACAUUGCGCCCCUUGGUAUUCCGGGGGGCAUGCCUGUUCGAGCGUCAUUUAGACCAACUCCCGCUCCGGCGGGGUCUUGGGCUGCGCCUUUGGGCGGGCCUUAAAACCAGUGGCGGUGCCCUAAGGCUCUACGCGUAGUAAUUCUUCUCGCGAUAGGGUCCUUGCGGUGUCUUGCCAGCAACCCCCAACUCUCUAGGGUUGACCUCGGAUCAGGUAGGGAUACCCGCUGAACUUAAGCAUAUCAAUAA
rnacentral:rRNA from 1 species